rnacentral:lncRNA from 1 species
AGAGGGUGGAUUUAGACAGUGCAGCAGGUUGUGGAUGCCCCCGCCCUGUGAGCAACCUGGUGUGGUGGGAGGUGUCCCUGCCUCCAGCCGGGGAUGGAAGUGAAUGGUCUGAAAGGUCCCUUCCAACCCAAACCAUUCUAUGGCUCUUUGUAAACUGCAGGGAAUUGCAGAGGAGAAUGGCUUUAAGAAGCCAAUAGCACUAGAGAUGCAGUGUGCAUUUCAGAGAGCUCCUCUGUGCAGUGAGGACAGAGAGUGACUGAAACAAUACGACCUGGACAGAGAGUGGCCCAGAAUGAUGACAGAAUCAUAGAGGCACAGGGCUGGAAAGGACCUACAGGAUCAUCCCCUCCAACAGUCCUCCUAUCACCAUCACCACCGCUGAGCUCCUCAGCCUCAUCUCGUAGCACCUCAUCCACAAUGUCAGUGGUUUAUGGGCUGGUUCGGCCCGGUUCCGUGAGUAGCGGGGCAGAGGGACCCACAGAUCUGCACCCCAGAAAAGGGGAACAGGGAAAAGGAUAGCGAGAUGGGCCCAAAAACAACACGGCAGCAACGAUCUGAGGAGAAACAAAGUAAUUGACUAGAAACGACAUCGGGCUGCAAGAUAAUACACUGUAAUACAACAGCAGCACUGGCACAAGGUUGGUGGUGAUGGGAUCUCUCAUUGUGGGUGCACCUUUUGCUUCCAGAGGACGUAGUGGUCAGCUCUGCUGCAGACCCAGUGCUUGUGUAGGUGGCAAAGGGAUGAGCUGAUCCUGUCCCCGUUCAGGUACGCACAUCGGCCUC